rnacentral:rRNA from 1 species
GAUAAACGCUGGCGGCGUGCAUAACACAUGCAAGUCGAACGAGUGGCGAACGGGUGAGUAACACGUAGUAACCUGCCUUACACAAGGGGAUAGCCUUUGGAAACGAAGAAUAAUACCCUAUAGUGUAAGAUGGACUUGCGUCUGAUUAGCUAGUUGGUGAGAGAAAGGCCCACCAAGGCAACGAUCAGUAGCCGGCUUGAUGGAUGGUACGGCAACACUGGAACUGAGACACGGUCCAGACUCCUACGGGAGGCAGCAGUGGGGAAUAUUGGACAAUGGGCGAAAGCCUGAUCCAGCCAUGCCGCGUGUGUGAAGAAGGUCUUCGGAUUGUAAAGCACUUUAAGUUGGGAGGCGUUACCAGCAGAAUAAGCACCGGCUAACUACGUGCCAGCAGCCGCGGUAAUAC